rnacentral:rRNA from 1 species
AACGCUGGCGGCGUGCUUAACACAUGCAAGUCGAACGAACCUUCGGGUUAGUGGCGGACGGGUGAGUAACGCGUGAGAAUCUGCCCUCAGGAGGGGGAUAACGGUUGGAAACGACCGCUAAUACCCCAUAUGCCUAUUGGUGAAAUGAAUUUCGCCUGAGGAUGAGCUCGCGUCUGAUUAGCUAGUUGGUGAGGUAAUGGCUUACCAAGGCUUCGAUCAGUAGCUGGUCUGAGAGGAUGAUCAGCCACACUGGGACUGAGACACGGCCCAGACUCCUACGGGAGGCAGCAGUGGGGAAUUUUCCGCAAUGGGCGAAAGCCUGACGGAGCAACGCCGCGUGAGGGACGAAGGCCUCUGGGCUGUAAACCUCUUUUCUCAAGGAAGAAGAUAUGACGGUACUUGAGGAAUAAGCCACGGCUAAUUC